GAUGAACGCUGGCGGCGUGCCUAAUACAUGCAAGUCGAGCGAACAGACGAGGAGCUUGCUCCUCUGACGUUAGCGGCGGACGGGUGAGUAACACGUGGAUAACCUACCUAUAAGACUGGGAUAACUUCGGGAAACCGGAGCUAAUACCGGAUAAUAUAUUGAACCGCAUGGUUCAAUAGUGAAAGACGGUUUUGCUGUCACUUAUAGAUGGAUCCGCGCCGCAUUAGCUAGUUGGUAAGGUAACGGCUUACCAAGGCAACGAUGCGUAGCCGACCUGAGAGGGUGAUCGGCCACACUGGAACUGAGACACGGUCCAGACUCCUACGGGAGGCAGCAGUAGGGAAUCUUCCGCAAUGGGCGAAAGCUUGACGGAGCAACGCCGCGUGAGUGAUGAAGGUCUUCGGAUCGUAAAACUCUGUUAUUAGGGAAGAACAAAUGUGUACGUAACUAUGCACGUCUUGACGGUACCUAAUCAAAAAGCCACGGCUAACUACGUG
rnacentral:rRNA from 1 species